GACCUGGUGGUGUAUGGUGCACACCCACCCAACCUGAAUGAGCUUGCGACUUGAAUUAUGUGGGAGGUCCCCGUUCGAUUCGGGGCCAGGUCA